rnacentral:rRNA from 1 species
UGGGGAAUAUUGCACAAUGGGCGCAAGCCUGAUGCAGCCAUGCCGCGUGUGUGAAGAAGGCCUUCGGGUUGUAAAGCACUUUCAGCGAGGAGGAAGGUGGUGAGCUUAAUACGCUCAUCAAUUGACGUUACUCGCAGAAGAAGCACCGGCUAACUCCGUGCCAGCAGCCGCGGUAAUACGGAGGGUGCAAGCGUUAAUCGGAAUUACUGGGCGUAAAGCGCACGCAGGCGGUUUGUUAAGUCAGAUGUGAAAUCCCCGGGCUCAACCUGGGAACUGCAUUUGAAACUGGCAAGCUAGAGUCUCGUAGAGGGGGGCUAGAAUUCCAGGUGUAGCGGUGAAAUGCGUAGAGAUCUGGAGGAAUACCGGUGGCGAAGGCGGCCCCCCUGGACGAAGACUGACGCUCAGGUGCGAAAGCGUGGGGCAGCAAACAGGAUUAGAUACCCUGGUAGUCCAGCGCUGUAAACGAUGUCGAUUUGGAGGUUGUGCCCCUUGAGGCGUGGCUUCCGGAGCUAACGCGUUAAA